rnacentral:rRNA from 1 species
AAGACCUUGCACUUUUGGAGCGGCCGAUGUCUGAUUAGCUAGUUGGUGGGGUAAUGGCCUACCAAAGCUUCGAUCAGUAGCUGGUCUGAGAGGACGGCCAGCCACACUGGGACUGAGACACGGCCCAGACUCCUACGGGAGGCAGCAGUGGGGAAUUUUGGACAAUGGGGGCAACCCUGAUCCAGCCAUGCCGCGUGAGUGAAGAAGGCCUUCGGGUUGUAAAGCUCUUUCAGCCGGAACGAAACGGUUACGAUUAAUACCCGUAACUACUGACGGUACCGGAAGAAGAAGCACCGGCUAACUACGUGCCAGCAGCCGCGGUAAUACGUAGGGUGCGAGCGUUAAUCGGAAUUACUGGGCGUAAAGCGUGCGCAGGUGGUUUUGUAAGUCAGAUGUGAAAUCCCCGGGCUUAACCUGGGAACU